UAACACUUAAUGCCAAUAAAACAAAAUAUAUAUGUUUUUCCAUCACAAAUUCCACACAGCCAAAUUUUGACAUGAACCUUAAGAUCCACUCUUGCAAUCUGAAUGAUUCCACAACCUGCAGCUGCCCAAUCAUAGAAAAAGUUGCCCAAAUAAAAUAUCUGGGAAUAAUUCUUGACGAGCAUCUAAAUUGGUACUCUCACCUCGAGCAAGUUAUCGGUAGAGUCAGGAAAUUGGUUUGGAUUUUCAGGGCGCUAAGACAUAUUGUACCAGGUAGAGAUAACUUGAUCCCUUCUAAACCACGAAACAUUCUAAAUGAAAUUUACAUAUCCCUGGUACAGUCUGUAUUGGCGUACUGCAUAUCUGUCUGGGGUGGGCGCUAGUGAAGGUCAUGUAUUUCAAAAAAUUAAGAUACUCGACGGAGAAACUAUACCAGAUUAGCGACCUCUUAUCAGUCAGAAAACUCUAUAUUGUGCAGACUAUACUAAAGAAACACAAGACCCUUACCUACAAUCCUAACUACAACACAAAACGAACUAUAACGAAUGUAGCGAAAUCUUCUCAUAACAGAACCACCUUUGCGAAUUCACAACUCAAUGCAAAAUCCGCUCACAUAUAUAAUAAAAUCAAUAAAAUCCUAAACAUUUACCCUAAACAGUCCCAGGAAUGUAAGUCCACCGUAAUCAAAUGGCUCACAAAUAAAACAUAUGAGGAAACAGAGUGCCUAUUACGAUGAGUACCAUUACACACACACACACACACACACACACACACACACACACACACACACACACACACACACACACACACACACACACACACACACACACACACACACACACACACACGCAGUCAAGCUUACUGGAAAUUAAAUGAAAUUAAAUUAAAUUUAUUUAUUUUAAUAUAGUUCAUGUCGUUCUUUUAUCGUUCAUAAUUAAUGUAUAGCUUGUUAGUAGUAUAUUUUGUUUGUAAAUUGUAAAUAGUAUUUAUAGGUAGUAAAUUUUGUAAAUAGUACAGAUCUUAGUAUUAGUUAUUAAUUAAUCACUGAAGAGCGGUGUCUCCCAACACAGGCAAUAUUGCUUACCGGGAGACACCAUCCCCUAAAUUAUAUAAACUGUAUUUUAUGAAAUAAAGAAUUUUGUAUUUUUUGUAUUUUAU